rnacentral:lncRNA from 1 species
GACUCUAGGUCAAGAGAAAUGAGACACAGCUCCUGCCUUGAAGGUGCUCCCUGACUAGAAGAGGAGAUGCACAUGGAAAUCACGAGGCCGCAGGUGACUCUGACAGGGUGACAAGGGUGCUGUGCAGGGUGGGAUGGUCAGGAAAGCCACUUGGAAGAGAAGACGCCUGAACGGGGUCCCGAGGAAACUGUCCGGGUAAGGAGAUGAAGGAAGGGCAUUCUAGGUGGAGGGAGCAACAGGGACAGAGCCCGAAGGGUGAGGACAGGCCGUUUGCAGGUACUGCAUAGCACCUGGGGAGAGCAGGGAGUGGAGGGAGGGGGAGCGGUGGAGGUGGGGCCAGAUCAGGAAGGGCCUUAUAGGGCUGCUAAGGAAUUUGGACUUGACCGUGAUGAGGCCAUGAGGGAGCACAGGGGUCAGGGAAUUCCCUUUCCUAGUCAAAGAAAGGGGUGACAGACGGCACCUGGAAAAUUGGGUCACUCCCACCCUAAUACUGCACUUUUCCAACAGGCUUAAAAAACAGCACACCAGGAGAUUAUAUCCCACACAUGGGUCCAAGGGUCCUACACCCACGGAGUCUUGCUCAUUGCUAGCAUGGCUGUCUGGGAUCAAACUGCAAGGUGGCAGCAAGGCUGGGGGAGGGGCGCCCGCCAUUGCUGAGUUAGUUGUUUGCUUAGGUAAACAAAGUGGCCGGGAAGCUCGAUCUGGGUGAAGCCCACCACAGCUCAAGGAGGCCUGCCUGCCUCUGUAGGCUCCACCACUGGGGGCAGGGCACAGACAAACAAAAAGACAGCAGUAACCUCUGCAGACUUAAAUGUCCCUGUCUGACAGCUUUGAAGAGAGCAGUGGUUCUCCCAGCACGCAGCUGGAGAUCUGAGAACGGGCAGACUGCCUCCUCAAGUGGGUCCCUGAUCCCCGAGUAGCCUAACUGGGAGGCAACCCCCAGUAGGGGCAGACUGACACCUCACGUGGCCGGGUACUCCUCUGAGACAAAACUUCCAGAGGAACAAUCAGGCAGAAAUAUUUGCGGUUCACCAAAAUCCGCUGUUCUGCAGCCACCGCUGCUGAUACCCAGGCAAACAGCGUCUGGAGUGGACCUCUAGCAAACUCCAACAGACCUGUAGCUGAAGGUCCUGUCUGUUAGAAGGAAAACUAACAAACAGAAAGGACAUCCACACCAAAACCCCAUCUGUACGUCACCAUCAUCAAAGACCAAAGGUAGAUAAAACCACAAAGAUGGGGAAAAAACAGAGCAGAAAAACCGGAAACUCUAAAAAUCAGAGUGCCUUUCCUCCUCUAAAGGAAUGCAGCUCCUCACCAGCAACGGAACAAAGCUGGACGGAGAAUGACUUUGACGAGUUGAGAGAAGAAGGCUUCAGAAGAUCAAACUACUCCGAGCUACAGGAGGAAAUUCGAACCAAUGGCAAGGAAGUUUAAAGCUUUGAAAAAAAAUUAGACGGAUGGAUAACUAGAAUGACCAAUGCAGAGAAGUCUUUAAAGGACCUGAUGGAGCUGAAAACCAAGGCACGAGAGCUACGUGACAAAUGCAGAAGCCUCAGUAGCCGAUGCAAUCAACUGGAAGAAAGGGUAUCAGUGAUGGAAGAUGAAAUGAAUGAAAUGAAGCAAUAAGAGAAGUUUAGAGAAAAAAGAAUAAAAAGAAACAAACAAAGCCACCAAGAAAUAUGGGACUAUGUGAAAAGACCAAAUCUACGUCUGAAUGGUGUACCUGAAAGUGACAGGGAGAAUGGAACCAACUUGGAAAAUACUCUGCAGGAUAUUAUCCAGGAGAACUUCCCCAAUCUAGCAAGGCAGGCCAACAUUCAAAUUCAGGAAAUACAGAGAACGCCGCAAAGAUACUCCUCGAGAAGAGCAACUCCAAGACACAUAAUUGUCAGAUUCACCAAAGUUGAAAUGAAGGAAAAAAUGUUAAAGGCAGCCAGAGAGAAUGUCAGGUUACCCACAAAGGGAAGCCCAUCAGACUAACAGCUGAUCUCUCAGCAGAAACGCUACAAGCCAGAAGAGAGUGGGGACCAAUAUUCAACAUUCUUAAAGAAAAGAAUUUUCAACCCAGAAUUUCACAUCCAGCCAAACUAAGCUUCAUAAGUGAAGGAGAAAUAAAAUAUUUUACAGACAAGCAAAUGCUGAGAGAUUUUGUCACCACCAGGCCUGCCCUAAAAGAGCUCCUGAAGGAAGCA